UCUCGACAACGUAAAAGCUAACUCAAAUUUGUAUGAAUUCGGAACGUUUGCCUACGUUUGCCGCUAGGGGCUCUGUUCUAACUGCAUAGAAAUUUUUGUUAACUUUUACGCUAUCGA
rnacentral:pre_miRNA from 9 species